rnacentral:tRNA from 1 species
UCCAGGGUAGCCUAGUGGACAUGGCAUCUGCCCGGUAAGCUGUGGGUUCGAUUCCCAUCCCUGGAC